rfam:Bacillus sp. MTM 13 153, whole genome shotgun sequence.
CACAAGCUGCGUUGUACGUAUGGAUAAUAAAGUUUUAACCUUUAAGCUGUAAUAGGGAGUUUUAUAUCAAAGCAGGAAUGUCAUGCCUCAGUCACUGACUAGGAGGACGUACAGGAAUGUUUUUGCAAACACCCACUUUGAGGAGUGGUGGUUUAAAACUUUCUUACUUAACUACGGCAAGUGCGGCUUGCUU